AACGAACGCUGGCGGCAUGCCUAACACAUGCAGGUCGAACGAGACCUUCGGGUCUAGUGGCGCACGGGUGCGUAACGCGUGGGAACCUGCCCUUAGGUUCGGAAUAACUCCCCGAAAGGGGUGCUAAUACCGGAUAAUGUCUUCGGACCAAAGAUUUAUCGCCUUUGGAUGGGCCCGCGUUGGAUUAGCUAGUUGGUAGGGUAAAAGCCUACCAAGGCGACGAUCCAUAGUUGGUCUGAGAGGAUGAUCAGCCACACUGGGACUGAGACACGGCCCAGACUCCUACGGGAAGCAGCAGUGGGGAAUAUUGGACAAUGGGCGAAAGCCUGAUCCAGCAAUGCCGCGUGAGUGAUGAAGGCCUUAGGGUUGUAAAGCUCUUUUACCCGGGAUGAUAAUGACAGUACCGGGAGAAUAAGCUCCGGCUAACUCCGUG
rnacentral:rRNA from 1 species